rnacentral:rRNA from 1 species
CAAUAGCGUAUAUUAAAGUUGUUGCGGUUAAAAAAGCUCGUAGUUGGAUUUCUGCUGAGGACGACCGGUCCGCCCUCUGGGUGAGUAUCUGGUUCGGCCUGGGCAUCUUCUUGGAGAGCGUAGCUGCACUUGACUGUGUGGUGCGGUAUCCAGGACUUUUACUUUGAGGAAAUUAGAGUGUUUCAAGCAGGCACACGCCUUGAAUACAUUAGCAUGGAAUAAUAAGAUAGGACCUCGGUUCUAUUUUGUUGGUUUCUAGGACCGCCGUAAUGAUUAAUAGGGGAUAGUCGGGGGGCGUCAGUAUUCAGCUGUCAGAGGUGAAAUUCUUGGAUUUGCUGAAGACUAACUACUGCGAAAGCAUUCGCCAAGGAUGUUUUUCAUUAAUCAGGGAACGAAAGUUAGGGGAUCGAAGACGAUUAGAUACCG